AGCCGUAUUUCCGCGGGCGCUGAGCACUAGAGAGAGCGUCUUGUGGCUGCGGCCUGCCCCUCAGCCUCCUCCGCGCGGUUACCCCUGUACCCGCCGCCAUCCGUCCUGGCGCUCCGGAUGAGUCAAUGAGGGGCAGGGCCCGAGGAGUGGUCUUCCCAAGAACCCCUGGUGGCCUCCCAAGGCCGGUGCUGUGUACCUCCUCCCCGACAAAAGGGGAAACUGAGGCCCCGAGGGGAGUGGGAAGAGCCGGCUGGACGUCAGGCCCAGCCGCUGGUGCAGUGGUCCGUCCCCUCUGCCGGGGUGGGCCCCUCGGGUUUCGCGUGUCCUCGGGAAAGAGACUGGCGGGUGAGCCGCGCCCUCGGCCUUCGCUGGGCUAAGCCGACCCCAUGCAGACGUCAAACCCCCCUAGGUCGGCACAGCCUCUCUGCGGGGAGGCUUAGUGCCCCCUUGAGAAACGGCUUGGCAACGCUGUGCCCGGGGCCUUGCACGCGGGCUGAGGGGGCUAGAGACCUCGCGACUUUUACUCCCCCGACCCCGAUCUCCGACUCCUGACUUUGGAAGCCCCCAAAGCUGCUUUUCGGUUGCCUACAAAGUGUCGGUCAUUGUGCCACGUCCUUGGAACCGUGAACUCAUUUUCUCCUCAAUAACCUUUAAAAAGUAGCUGUAAAACCUCCAUUUUACAGACCAGUUGGCUGAGGUUUAAAUGGAGGACGCUCCCAGGGCCCCAGAGGGGCGAAUUCCAGACUCCUUUGCCAGGACCUUGUACUAAGCCCCUUCCCUACGCUUUUCCCUGCCUAGGCCUCGUGGGCUGUGCGGCUAUCCUGGAGACAGAUGACAGCUCUCCCUUGGAUGGCUUUGCUGGUUCCGCACCAGCCAGCGCCCCCAUUUUUCCUGCAGCACCCUGAUCUGCACUCCCUGAGGGGCUCCCACUGUCCGCGGUGUGAGGAUGUCCCUGGAUAGUCCACUGUGUGCAGAGGCAUGGGAGUUGUCAUGUUGGGAACAUGCUAGACCUCAGUAUCCUUGAGCUUGAAGAAAGACGACAGAACACUGGAGACCAAGUACUUACAGCCUUCUGCUCUGUGGCCCCUCCUCACUCCAGGGAUGCUGCCUUGGGUCUGGAAACUGUUAGAGGAAACCCCAAGAGGUGCAGGCACUGAGCCUCUCAGGACAAUGACCUGGGGUCCCAGCUCCCCUGGAGGGGCCUCCUCAUGAUUGUUUGGGGGUUGAUCACAGACCAAGAGUGACGAGUGAUGUCACCCUGUGACUCAUGGCUGGACCUUCUUGCCCCUAUUGUCUCAGCACAACAUUAUUCGACUUUUCCCUCAGCGUGGGUGGGCAGAGGAAAAGCCCUGUGGCUCUGGGGACUUGGGAUCCAGAGUUGAAGACCCUUCAGCUGGCUCUGCCCUGCCAGUGCCACAGAGUGCCAUGGCCCAGGAAGACAGGUUUUCUUCCAUCUAGGCCAGGCCAUCCAGUGGCCAUCCUCCGUGUCCUCCCGCCUCCUCCUGGUGUGACUUCUGAAAACCAAGAAUUUGUUCCUGUUGACUUUUUCUGUGCUAUGGACCAUUGUCCUCUCACCCACUCAAUAAAUCUUGAAACAUGC
ensembl:lncRNA SNHG11 small nucleolar RNA host gene 11